UGGCAAAAACACCAGAGAACACUCUU
rnacentral:piRNA from 1 species